rnacentral:siRNA from 1 species
UUAUACUCAAUCAUACACAUGACA